rnacentral:rRNA from 1 species
GGGAAUAUUGCACAAUGGGGGAAACCCUGAUGCAGCAACGCCGCGUGAGUGAUGACGGCCUUCGGGUUGUAAAGCUCUGUCUUCAGGGACGAUAAUGACGGUACCUGAGGAGGAAGCCACGGCUAACUACGUGCCAGCAGCCGCGGUAAUACGUAGGUGGCAAGCGUUGUCCGGAUUUACUGGGCGUAAAGGGAGCGUAGGCGGACUUUUAAGUGAGAUGUGAAAUACCCGGGCUCAACCUGGGUGCUGCAUUUCAAACUGGAAGUCUAGAGUGCAGGAGAGGAGAGUGGAAUUCCUAGUGUAGCGGUGAAAUGCGUAGAGAUUAGGAAGAACACCAGUGGCGAAGGCGACUCUCUGGACUGUAACUGACGCUGAGGCUCGAAAGCGUGGGGAGCAAACA